ensembl:lncRNA
CUCACGCAACCUGGGUGGGGGGUGGGGGGGGUGCUGGGCAUAAGAGCAGCCCUGGGAUCCUCCCAGUGCAGGUGUGAUUGGCACUGAGCUGGCUUUUUAAAGUUGUGAAUAUUUACUCACCUGGGCAGAGUGGCAUACACCUUUGAUUCCAGCACUCUGGGAAUCUGAGGCAGGAGGAACGAAAGAUCAAGCCCAGCCUGGGCAACUUAGUGAGACCCUGUGUUAAAAUGAAAGGGGAGUGGCCAGGGAUUUAGCUCAGUGGUUCCACUGCGCAAGUGCAAGUUCCCGAGUUCAAUCCCUGGUCCAAAAAAAAUGAAAGGGGGCCCAGGAAUUUAGCUCAGUGCAAAGUCCUUGGGUUCGAUCUCCAGUACCACACAUACAAAAUAACUCCCAUCAAUUACACAAAUUCAUUGCAUCGCUAUGACAUUUCCAUCCAUGCAUAUAUUGUGCUAAUUUUUUUUUUUUUUAAAUACCAGGGAUCAAACUUGGUACCUUACACUUGUCAGGCAGGGGGCAGAACCACUGAGCUAAAUUCCCAGCCCAAUUAAGGAAUGCAUGAUUUUAAUUCUUUCACUGGGUCUUGAAGGACAGUGAGGAUCCAGUUCAGCCUGGAGAAGCAUGUCAUAAGAACGUCACAGGAGAGACCGACAAAGGCCCUUUGGCAGGAGACCGUCUUGGAGACCUGCAGAGGGUUGAAUAGUUCCCAAGGAGAUAUGUUACAUCCUACUCCCUGGAAGCUAUGAAGGAGAUCUUACUUGGAAAACAGGUUUUUGCAGAUGUAAUUACACUACAGAUCUCAAGAGGAGAUCACCCAGGGUAGGGCUAAGCCCUACCUACACCCAGGCACUGGUGUCCUGAGACACAGAAACAGUACGAGGCCAUGAGAAGACUGAGGCAGAGAUUGGAGAGAUAGGGCCACAACCAACAGUGUCAGCAGCCACCAGAAGCCAGGAGAAUCACCAGGCCUGCAGGGCCGUGUGGCCCACCUGCGCCCUGGCCUUCCGCCCUCCAGGCCCUGGGUGAGAACACUUUUCUGUUGCUUGGAGCCACUAAGCUUGUAAUCGUGUGUCACAUCAACACAGCCCUUUGACCAGCAGGGCGAGAACGAGGUCCUCACCAGAGCUCCAGUGGAGGCCCCAGGGGCUGUGGGGCUGAGACCAAGGAGGCCCACAGUACGUCUGACCGGGUCUCCCUGAGUCCCUGAACUGCCCAGGCUGGGCUUGAACUUGCAAUCCUCCUGCCUCAGCCUCCCAGAGCGCUAGGAUUACAGGACACAUCAAAAACCUCAAUGGUCCUGUGAUGCUGUGAUGCUCCAGGGCAAGAUUACACCAGUUGAAGACAUCCUGGGGAGGAACAAAUUCCCAAUCAACAUAAAUUCCUCAUCAAACUAGGAUCUUCAUCCACAUAAGUUCCUCCUUGUCCUAGGAUUAUCGCUGCAGCCUUCUGAGUCGUCUGUUAUCCCAAUGUACCAAAUAAAGGUGUGGCAAGCUCCAGGUCUUUCCUCUUUGGUACCCAGAGCAGCAUUGAUCAGGCCCAAAGCUCAGCUUCUCUAAGUCUCGUUUCCUGCCUUUACUCAUUAAUUU